rnacentral:rRNA from 1 species
AGAGAAUAGAUACCCGGUAGUCCCAGCUGUAAACGGUGCGCGUUUGGUGUGAGAAGGUUCGACCCUUCUUGCGCCGGAGUUAAACACGUUAAAAACGCGCCGCCUGGGAAAUACGGUCGCAAGACUAAAACUCAAAGAAAUUGACGGGGGCCCGCACAAGCGGUGGAGUAUGUGGCUUAAUUCGAUGCAACGCGAAGAACCUUACCUAGGCUUGACAUGCAUCACUAAGGUGGUGAAAGCCAUCGAGAGUAGCAAUACUCAUUUUGCACAGGUGCUGCAUGGCUGUCGUCAGCUCGUGUCGUGAGAUGUUGGGUUAAGUCCCGCAACGAGCGCAACCCUCAUAUGCUGUUACCGGCCAUAAACCGGGUCUCUGCAUAGACUGCCCCGUGAAACGGGGAGGAAGGCGAGGAUGACGUCAAGUCAGCAUGGCCCUUACGCCUAGGGCUGCACACGUACUACAAUGCCCAGUACAAAACCGAGCCGGCUCUGCAAAGAUUCGGAAAUCAAAAAACCUGGGUUCAGUUCGG